UACGUAGGGCGCGAGCGUUGUCCGGAAUCAUUGGGCGUAAAGAGUUCGUAGGCGGCCUGUCGCGUCUGCUGUGAAAUCCCGGGGCUUAACCCCGGGCGUGCAGUGGAUACGGGCUGGCUGGAGGCAGGCAGGGGAGAACGGAAUUCCCGGUGUAGCGGUGAAAUGCGCAGAUAUCGGGAGGAACACCGGUGGCGAAGGCGGUUCUCUGGGACUGUACUGACGCUGAGGAGCGAAAGCGUGGGGAGCGAACAGG
rnacentral:rRNA from 1 species